UACAGAGGGUGCAAACGUUGCUCGGAAUCAUUGGGCGUAAAGCGCGCGUAGGUGGCUUCGUAAGUCCGUUGUGAAAGUCAAAGGCUCAACCUUUGAAAGCCGAUGGAUACUGCGGAGCUAGAGUACGGAAGAGGCGAGUGGAAUUCCUGGUGUAGCGGUGGAAUGCGCAGAUAUCAGGAGGAACACCAAUAGCGAAGGCAGCUCGCUGGGACGUUACUGACACUGAGGCGCGAAAGCGUGGGGAGCGAACAGG
rnacentral:rRNA from 1 species